GUGCCCGCAAGCCGCGGUAAUACGAACGGGGGCUAGCCGCUUGCCUCGGGAAUUACCUGGCCCGUAAAGGGGCGCCGUAGGCCACUCAUUUAAGUCCAGGGGUGAAAUCCCAGAGCUCAACUCUGGAACUGCCUUUGAUACUGGGUGUCUUGAGUGUGAGAGAGGUAUGUGGAACUCCGAGUGUAGAGGUGAAAUUCGUAGAUAUUCGGAAGAACACCAGUGGCGAAGGCGACAUACUGGCUCAUUACUGACGCUGAGGCGCGAAAGCGUGGGGAGCAAACAGGAUUAGAUACCCUGGUAGUCC
rnacentral:rRNA from 1 species